CCUACGGGAGGCAGCAGUAGGGAAUAUUGCUCAAUGGGGGAAACCCUGAAGCAGCAACGCCGCGUGGAGGAUGAAGGUUUUCGGAUUGUAAACUCCUUUUGUUAGAGAAGAUAAUGACGGUAUCUAACGAAUAAGCACCGGCUUAAUCCGUGCCAGCAGCCGCGGUCAUACGGAGGGUGCAAGCGUUACUCGGAAUCACUGGGCGUAAAGUGGGCGUAGGCGGGAUAGCAAGGCAGGUGUGAAAUCCUAUGGCUUAACCAUAGAACUGCAUUUGAAACUGUUAUUCUAGAGUAUGGGAGAGGUAGGUGGAAUUCUUGGUGUAGGGGUAAAAUCCGUAGAGAUCAAGAAGAAUACUCAUUGCGAAGGCGGCCUGCUAGAACAUAACUGACGCUGAUGCGCGAAAGCGUGGGGAGCGAACAGGAUUAGAUACCCUAGUAGUC
rnacentral:rRNA from 1 species